AGGGAUGGAAUUCAGUGGCAGAAUGCUUGCCUAGAAAGUAUGAGGCCCUGGAUUUGAAUUCCAGCAUUGCAA
rnacentral:tRNA from 1 species